rnacentral:rRNA from 1 species
UGACCACAAGUUCAACGGCCGCGGUAUUUUGACCGUGCAAAGGUAGCGCAAUCACUUGUCUUUUAAAUAGAGACCUGUAUGAAUGGCUAAACGAGGGCUUAACUGUCUCCCUUUUCAGGUCAGUGAAAUUGAUCUACCCGUGCAGAAGCGGGUAUAACAAUACAAGACGAGAAGACCCUUUGGAGCUUAAGGUACAAAACUCAACCACGUAAAGCAACUUAAUAAAAAAUAAAAACUUUGUGAAACAUGAGAUUUUACCUUCGGUUGGGGCGACCGCGGAGGAAAAAAAAGCCUCCAAGUGGACCGGGACAAACUCCUAAAACCAAGAGAAACAUCUCUAAGCCACAGAACAUCUGACCAAACAUGAUCCGGCCACCAGGACCGAUCAACGAACCAAGUUACCCUAGGGAUAACAGCGCAAUCCCCUCCCAGAGUCCAUAUCGACGAGGGGGUUUACGACCUCGAUGUUGGAUCAGGACAUCCUAAUGGUGCAGCCGCUAUUAAGGGUUCGUUUGUUCAACGAUUAAAGUCCUACGUGAUC